GAAGCUCAAUUAAAAUUAGUUUAAAAUAAACAUUUCAUGGGCUUUAUCAUACACGUGGGACAUGAAUUAGUUAAGGUCACAAGCUAUCAAUUCAAUUUGAGAGAAAUUUUCUCUUCAAUAACAAAUGUUGACCAAGUAUGGUGGGAAGUUAGGAAGUUUAUUCAUUUAUUAAUUUAUUUUAAAUCUUAACUUAGGUUAGCUAGAGGCCUAUAUAUAGAGCUUUAGGUAUUCAUUCUUCACUAAUCACUUAAGCUAUUACCUAUCCAAGGUUACUCUCUCUGUCUCAUCUCUUACUACUACUCCCUAUUUUGUCUUUUAUGCCAAAAUAUUCAUUGCUUAUUACCUCACGCCACCAUCAAUACCAUCAUCAUUUAUCAUUUUCUCUAUCAUUUUUUUUUUCAAUUUCUUUUUCUAUCAUUUCACCAUUCUCUCAACACUAUUCCCAACUGAUUAUUCUUGUCAUACUACAUAUCACCACCACCAACCUCUUAAGCAUUUAUAUAUAUAUACCCCACUAUUAUUUACUUAUAUAUAUCAACAUCAUCACCACCAUUAUUUCUCUGCCAGAUUUCCUUUUUAAUCUAAGGUUUUUCAUAAGAUAAUUUUUGGUUCUCAAGGAUCACUUUUGCAAUCAAGCUAGGAUCUCCACAUUCGAGACCAAGGUAACUAAAAGUUUAGAAAGCCGGUGGCGAGUGAAACUUUGGACGCUUGUGUGUGUGAACUCGCUGAGGGCCAUAUAACUGCGGGCGGUCUUGGGGCGCUCUAUUUAUUUAUUUACGUUAUUAAAUUAAUGUCGCAACUAUUUUAGUUAUUAUUUAUUAUGUCUUUUGUACGAAAACUGGCCAGUUGUGAACAUUUUCAAGUAUUAAAUAAAAAUGCGACAUUAUGUUUUUCCGUGUU